rnacentral:lncRNA from 1 species
AGGACAGGACAGGAGAGGAGGGGUGUCUAGACAGGACAGGACAGGAGAGGAGAGGAGGGCUGUCUAGUAAGGACAGGACAGGAGAGGAGAGGAGAGCUGUCUAGUAAGGACAGGAGAGGAGAGGAGAGCUGUCUAGUAAGGACAGGAGAGGAGAGGAGAGGAGAGGAGAGCUGUCUAGUAAGGACAGGAGAGGAGAGGAGGGCUGUCUAGUAAGGACAGGAGAGGAGAGGAGGGCUGUCUAGUAAGGACAGGACAGGAGAGGAGGGCUGUCUAGUAAGGACAGGAGAGGAGAGGAGGGCUGUCUAGUAAGGACAGGAGAGGAGAGGAGGGCUGUCUAGUAAGGACAGGAGAGGAGAGGAGGGGUGUCUAGUAAGGACAGGACAGGAGAGGAGGGCUGUCUAGUAAGGACAGGAGAGGAGAGGAGAGGAGAGCUGUCUAGUAAGGACAGGAGAGGAGGGGUGUCUAGUAAGGACAGGAGAGGAGAGGAGGGCUGUCUAGUAAGGACAGGAGAGGAGGGCUGUCUAGUAAGGACAGGAGAGGAGAGGAGGGCUGUCUAGUAAGGACAGGACAGGAGAGGAGGGGUGUCUAGUAAGGACAGGAGAGGAGAGGAGGGGUGUCUAGUAAGGACAGGACAGGAGAGGAGGGGUGUCUAGUAAGGACAGGAGAGGAGAGGAGGGCUGUCUAGUAAGGACAGGAGAGGAGAGGAGAGCUGUCUAGUAAGGACAGGAGAGGAGAGGAGGGCUGUCUAGUAAGGACAGGACAGGAGAGGAGGGGUGUCUAGUAAGGACAGGAGAGGAGAGGAGGGCUGUCUAGUAAGGACAGGAGAGGAGGGGAGGGCUGUCUAGUAAGGACAGGAGAGGAGAGGAGGGCUGUCUAGUAAGGACAGGAGAGGAGAGGAGGGCUGUCUAGUAAGGACAGGAGAGGAGAGGAGGGCUGUCUAGUAAGGACAGGACAGGAGAGGAGGGCUGUCUAGUAAGGACAGGAGAGGAGGGGUGUCUAGUAAGGACAGGAGAGGAGAGGAGGGCUGUCUAGUAAGGACAGGAGAGGAGGGCUGUCUAGUAAGGACAGGAGAGGAGAGG